GGGUCCUUAGCUUAAAUGGGAAAGCGGGUGAUUGAAGAUCUCCAGUUCACGGUUCGAUUCCGUGGGGACCCAC
rnacentral:tRNA from 1 species